rnacentral:lncRNA from 1 species
GCCAAAAAAAACCAAAGGGUGGGUGAUGUUUAAUUAGAUUUUAAAUGCCAUUCCUUGAAAAUAAAUAAAAGAAACAAAAGCAGAGACACGUGAAACCAACUCCACAAAUCGUUCGCUUCUCUCAACCUUUCCUCUCCCAAUCUCUCUAUCUCUACUCAAACCCGCGCCUCUCAAACUCCCAAUCUCUCAACCUUUCCUCUCCC